rnacentral:rRNA from 1 species
UACGAAGGUGGCAAGCGUUGUUCGGAUUUACUGGGCGUAAAGGGAGCGUAGGUGGUGGGGUAAGCCCCGCGGGAAAGCUCCAGGCUUAACCUGGAAAGGUCGCGGGGGACUGCUUCGCUGGAGGACGGGAGAGGAGCGCGGAAUUCCCGGUGUAGCGGUGAAAUGCGUAGAGAUCGGGAGGAAGGCCGGUGGCGAAGGCGGCGCUCUGGAACGGCCCUGACACUGAGGCUCGAAAGCGUGGGGAGCAAACAGG